CUUUGGCCCCGAGGGCACGGCCUGCCCUGCUUUCUAUCAUUCUAGGGGCUGCUGGGAAUGAAGACUUCUCCUUCCGGGAGCCUGCUGUCUGCGGACCUCACAGAACUCAGCUGAGUCCUACCUGCUUCCUUUUCUUGGCACUGAAGAUGAAAGACACUGAAGAUGGAAGAUUGAGCAAGACAGGAGGACCCAGCUCUCUAUACCAUGGAGGAAAACAGGUCACUUGGGAAACAGAAAGAAUGGUUGGAAGCAUCAUGGCGCAGGCACACCAUGGCUUCCUGUGCCACCACUAGGAAGAGGAAGUGCGGGUGCUGCACUGGCUCCUCCCUGGUCCCUGCCUCAGAUGCCAUGUCCUUCGGAUGUGCUUUUCAGAUUGCUGCCAGAGGGAACUCUUCAAAAAUGCAAACCUGACCAUGUCCUUCCUCACUCUCAAACCCUCGCUGGCUCCCCAUUGCCCUUCUCCUGAUGAGUCCUGAUCUCAUCCAGUCCUAGCUCUCUCUCCAGUGUCACCUCCCGAUCUGCUGUGACCCUGACAUGCUGGUUGUAUAACCGGCAGGUCUCACCUCACAGUGGCCUUACCUCACAGUGGCCUUGCACAUCAUCUGCCCCUCGGACACUGCUGUCUCCAAGACUCCAUGUGAGCACUUCCUUCUCCAGGAAACCCUCCCUGACUCCUGCUCCCCUGCCCUUGGGGCCUCCAGCCAGGCCAGUGCAGGCAGCAGGAUGCCUCAGGAGGACCUGGGAAGUGGACCCUGGCCCUGCAGUCCACUCCUGCCCUGGGAAGAGUGAGAAGGGGCUGGAUCCAUCACAGUGCCUGAUCUUGGACCCUGGCUCUCAGGAGACGUCAGCAGGACGGAGGCCACCCUUGGUCCGCUGUGUGACCCUGCUGGUCACCUGGCUUCUCCGGCUCCUCUCCCACGAGAGGGCCAGCACCGCCCAGGGCCCCCUCCUCAGCCCUGCUGCACCCCGAGGCGGGACUGAGGCACUGCGCCCUGCUGUCCCGGAAGGCGCCCCUCGUGCAGUCACAGACCCCCUUGUCCCCCUGCCUGCUGAUUGCUCCAGCCAGACAACCCCUGGGUCUAGAAUCCCGGAACCCGAGGCACACGUGUAGAGUGAUUGGAGGGACACAUGGCGGACAGAUGAGUGACCCAGAGCUGUCCCCAGAUAUAUCCAGUGCAAGACUGUGAGAACGAGCCCACCGCCCCGGAGCAACCAGGAGCUCAGGUCCCUCAACCUUGCAGCCCAGCCCUGGCCUCGAGGAGCUCGGGCUGGCUCCGGUUUGUGCUUCUGGCCUCCCAACUCUCUGAGAGCCUUCCUUCUCAUUCUUGUGCCCACCCCUGCCCAGCGUGGCUUGAACGUGGAUCUGGGCGCAAGCCACCUCCCAUUUUGUCAGACCCUCCAGGAAGCUGUUCCAACCGUGGGAGGAAAGCUGUAAUAACACUGAGAUUGAAUUUCCCUCCAGCCUGGAGGGACGGGGGAUUCAAGUCAGAUUUAAUUCGAUCUUAGACAAAUAAAGUACUAUGACAUUUAUUG
rnacentral:lncRNA from 1 species